rnacentral:rRNA from 1 species
GACGAACGCUGGCGGCGUGCCUAACACAUGCAAGUCGAGCGGAGAUGUACUGAAGAUUUAUCGGAUGUACAUCUUAGCGGCGGACGGGUGAGUAACGCGUGGGCAACCUGCCUUCCACUGGGGGAUAACACAGGGAAACCUGUGCUAAUACCGCAUGACAUCACAUAGGGCAUCCUGUGUGAUCAAAGGAGUGAUCCGGUGGAAGAUGGGCCCGCGUCCGAUUAGCUAGUUGGUGAGGUAACGGCUCACCAAGGCGACGAUCGGUAGCCGGACUGAGAGGUUGGCCGGCCACAUUGGGACUGAGACACGGCCCAGACUCCUACGGGAGGCAGCAGUGGGGAAUAUUGCGCAAUGGGGGGAACCCUGACGCAGCGACGCCGCGUGAAGGAAGAAGGCCUCGGUUGUAACUUACUUGUAUGAGGACGAAGGAAGUAGACGGUACCUCAAAACAAGACACGGACAACUAACGUGCCAGCAGCGCGGUAAACGACUACGUAGAC